rnacentral:rRNA from 1 species
GUCUGNAACCCGACUACAUGAAGCUGGAAUCGCUAGUAAUCGCGAAUCAGAAUGUCGCGGUGAAUACGUUCCCGGGUCUUGUACACACCGCCCGUCACACCAUGGGAGUCGGAAAUGCCCGAAGUCAGUGACCCAACCGUAAGGAGGGAGCUGCCGAAGGUGGAGCCGGUAACUGGGGUGAAGUCGUAACAAGGUAGC